CUUUUUUUUAAACUGGUAACUUUUUGUAUUCCUCAGCAUUAAGGGCUAUGCUGGCCACCUCCGGAAAAACUGUUACAAGAAAGGGAAAAGACUAAAAAGAAAUACUUACAGAGAGCCUAUGAAGUCCACUAAUUGUAACUCCUCUUCUAUAUCCUGUUAUUUACACCAAAAACCUAAAGUAGUAAUUACUUUCCAUUUUGAUCUUCUGUAUUGUACACUCCUUUCAUUUAAAAGUUCUCUGAUUCCUUUCUUUCCAUAUAAUCCACCAGAUACAUGCUGGAACUGUUCACCAUCUUUUCUGACUUUUGCUGCCUCCCCUUUGAUCCAGCAACUAAGAAGGUCAGAG
rnacentral:misc_RNA from 1 species